GCACCUCUUAGAGAGUCAGUUAGCUAUAUUUAGGAGGUAUAUACAUGCAUUGAACUACAGGGGAAGGGGUUAGGGGUGGAGAGACUGGGCAGGAAUCAUAGCAAGAGAUCAAAAAGCAAAGUGGUCCAAUGGAAAGAGCAAUAAACUUGGCCACAGGAGAGAUGAUGUUUGAAUGCUGGCUCUGAUGCUUACCAACUGUAUAGCCCUGGGUUGGGGCUAUGUUUUCAUCCUGUAUUGUAUCCUGUAGUCCUGGAGAGCAACUUUGGAUGGAAUGAAGACUCAGGAGUCCAUAUCAGCAUGCUCACAGAUAAGCACAUACAGGACACGUACAAAAUCAAGGUUCCUUCACUUCCAAAUCCUAUAAUCUUAAAACACACUGAGAUGUUUUGUCUGAAGAAUAAAAGACUGAGAGGGCCUCAUCACAUUCUUCCUAUAUUUCAAGGAAUCAGAGUUGGGUUUUUCUUGGGACCUGGGAGCAGGACAAGAAGAAGCACUGGGCAAACUUCACAGAAGGGCAGAUUGUCGAUUCCAUGUGGCGCCUAAGUGCCUGGGAAAACCUUGGAAUCUACAGCCC